rnacentral:misc_RNA from 1 species
UAUCGUACCAUGGAGGCGCUUGGGUUGUCGCUGACCUUUCCGAAAGGUCGUGCACGCCCGAGCGCUUUCAAUCCAUUUCACCCUUUGUGCAUCACCGCGCGGGGUCUCUUCCGAGAGGCUCGCGUUUUUCAUACAAACACGUUUAUAGUCAGUUUAGAAUGUCACUUAUUUGCGAUCACACGCAAUCAAUACAACUUUCAACAAUGGAUCUCUUGGCUCUCGCAUCGAUGAAGAACGCAGCGAAAUGCGAUACGUAAUGUGAAUUGCAGAAUUCAGUGAAUCAUCGAAUCUUUGAACGCACCUUGCGCCCCUUGGUAUUCCGAGGGGCACACCCGUUUGAGUGUCGUGAAAUUCUCAAACCUUCUUGGUCUCUCGAUCAAGAUGGCUUUGGACUUGGAGGCGUUUGCUGGCUUUGCGAAAAGCCAGCUCCUCUUAAAUGCAUUAGUGGGGUCCCCUUUGCCGAUCCCGAGGCGUGAUAAGUCAUUUCUACGUCUUGGGAUUUGCUCUGUUCCUUGGGAACCCGCUUCUAACCGUCUCACGGGAGACAUCGUUCGAGCUUGCUCGACCCACGAACCUUG